rnacentral:rRNA from 1 species
UUCAUGGAGAGUUUGAUCCUGGCUCAGGACGAACGCUGGCGGCGUGCCUAAUACAUGCAAGUCGAGCGGACCGACGGGAGCUUGCUCCCUUAGGUCAGCGGCGGACGGGUGAGUAACACGUGGGUAACCUGCCUGUAAGACUGGGAUAACUCCGGGAAACCGGGGCUAAUACCGGAUGCUUGAUUGAACCGCAUGGUUCAAU